rnacentral:rRNA from 1 species
UGGGGAAUAUUGCACAAUGGGCGCAAGCCUGAUGCAGCCAUGCCGCGUGUAUGAAGAAAGCCUUCGGGUUGUAAAGUACUUUCAGCGGGGAGGAAGGCGAUAAGGUUAAUAACCUUGUCGAUUGACGUUACCCGCAGAAGAAGCACCGGCUAACUCCGUGCCAGCAGCCGCGGUAAUACGGAGGGUGCAAGCGUUAAUCGGAAUUACUGGGCGUAAAGCGCACGCAGGCGGUCUGUCAAGUCGGAUGUGAAAUCCCCGGGCUCAACCUGGGAACUGCAUUCGAAACUGGCAGGCUAGAGUCUUGUAGAGGGGGGUAGAAUUCCAGGUGUAGCGGUGAAAUGCGUAGAGAUCUGGAGGAAUACCGGUGGCGAAGGCGGCCCCCUGGACAAAGACUGACGCUCAGGUGCGAAAGCGUGGGGAGCAAACA